AAUAUAUCCAUGUUGUUGAUAACGUCAACACGCCACCAGACAUUGAGCUGCACUCAACAAUGACCUCUGACACAUGACUAGUUUCAUGUUGUGAGGCAUUCAUUCACUGAGCCCACCAUGAAGCGACUGUAUCAGUCUGUGAGGGAGGAAUACCCUACCCCCACCCCGGGGAACGUCACAGGCACCAUCCCCGAUUGGUUAGAUGGCAGUUUAUACAGAAAUGGCCCCGGCCUUUUCGAGGUGGGGACAACCAAGUAUAACCAUUGGUUUGACGGCAUGGCUGUCCUCCAACGCUUCCACGUGACCAAACAGGAAGUGACGUACCAGCGCCGGUUCCUCCAGAGCGAGACGUACAAGAAGAACAUGGCGGCAAAACGCAUCGCAGUGACCGAGUUCGCCACCACCGCCUUCCCGGAUCCGUGUAAAGGGUCUAUUGCCAGGGCGGUGUCGUUCGUAACGGAGACGGCAGAGCCGACGGACAAUACUAACGUCAACAUCCACAUCCUCGGGGGAGAGAUGUACACGUCCUCGGAGUCGAACAUGCUGCACCGUCUAAACCCCCAAACACUGGAAACACAAGCCAGGGUUGUGCUGACUGAUCAUAUUCCAAUCAACAUGGCGGCUGCUCACGCCCACAGGGACUGGGGCGGGGCACUGCACAGCAUUGGCUACCAGUUUGGAAAAGGGAGGCCCAAAUAUUGCCUGAUACGAACGCCCGUAGCUGCCAAUGACGAAGGAGGCUACUCUAAGUCCAGACUGGUGGCAUCUGUGAUGGCAGAACACUCCAUGCAUCCGUCGUACUUCCACAGCUUCGGGAUGACCGAGAACUACUACGUGUUUGUGGAACAACCGAUGGUGAUAAAUGUAUGGAAGAUUCUGGCAGCCAUGGUGAAGAAGCAUCACAUGCUACAGUGCAUACAGUGGAACCCAGAACACACCGGCAACCUGACUCGGUUCCACGUGAUCGACAAGCGCACUGGGAAUGAGGUCAAUGCUGAAUGCCCGUAUGUAGCCGACGCCUUUCUAGUGCUGCAUCACAUCAACGCAUUCGAAGAUCAAGGGCAACUAGUGGUCGAUGUCUGUGGCUUUCAUGUUGGCGACAUCCUGGACAAGUUCGACAUGGAACGCCUCAGCAGUGACAAAGCUGAAGAGGUUAUCAAUAACCUGCCACGCCCUCACCCAUGGAGAUACGUCUUGCCUCUUGAAGUAGAUACAAAUUCAGAGUCAGAGAGCAACCUUGUGACGCUUCCAGACUCAGAAGCCACGGCUGUGAUGAAGAAGAAAAAGAUUUUCUGCACGUACCAACCACUGUCGACAGAAUCGAUGGACCUACCGGUCAUCAACUACUCUGUGGUCAACGGGAGGAAGUACCGCUACAUGUACGGGACAGGGCUCCAGGCAGCGCCGGGGAAUCAGCCUACAAUAUUCAAGGUUGACAUCAACGAGAAGACGACCUUGAAAUGGUGCGAAGACGGAUGCUUCCCUUCCGAAGCCAUCUUUGUGCCGCGACCUUCAACUUCACGUGAAGAUGACGGUAUGUUGCUGUCGGUGGUUGGGACGGUUGGGGAGGAUCAGGAAGACUUCCUCCUCAUCCUGGAUGCGGGCACCCUGCAGGAGGUGGCCCGGGUGGUGUUCCCUGGCAUCCGGUUCCCAAAGGAUCAGCAUGGCGUCUUCCUUGAUGGACAGUGAUGGCGACUGUUAGAUCUAACACCAAAGGCAGAACAUUAAAUAACCCCAUUGAUCCCGGAAAGUCAUAUAGUCAAAGGCAGAACAUUGAAUAACCCCACUGAUUCUGGGAAAUCAUAUCAUCAAAAGGCAGAACAUUGAAUAACCCCAUUGAUCCUGGAAAGUCAUUUAGUCAAAGGCAGAACAUUGAAUAACCCCACUGAUUCUGGGAAAUCAUAUCAUCAAAAGGCAGAACAUUGAAUUACCCCAUUGAUCCUGGAAAGUCAUUUAGUCAAAGGCAGAACAUUGAAUAACCCCACUGAUUCUGGGAAAUCAUAUCAUCAAAAGGCAGAACAUUGAAUAACCCCAUUGAUCCUGGAAAGUCAUUUAGUCAAAGGCAGAACAUUGAAUAACCCCACUGAUUCUGGGAAAUCAUAUCAUCAAAAGGCAGAACAUUGAAUAACCCAAUUGAUUCUGGGAAGUCAUAUCAUCAAAAGGCAGAACAUUGAAUAACCCCAUUGAUUCUGGGAAGUCAUAUCGUCAUCAUUGAAUAACCCGACUGAUUCUGGGAAAUCGUGUCACCAAAGGUAGAACAUUUAAUAACUCAUUUGAUUCUGUGAGAUCAUGUCAUCAUAAUAUUCAGUAACCUCAGUGAAUCUUGGAAAUUAACGGCGAUGAUAUUUCCAUACUGUAUUGCCUGGGCACUUACAUGUAAAAUGUCCGUGGGCUGUCUAAACAUGGCUGGUGUUGUUUUUGUAUUGUUGUACUGUUGAUUGUUUAUGCAUCUCUGUCAAUGAAUUCUAAUAUUCAAAUAAAUUCAUGUAUUUUAAAUUUAGAAAGAUAUAAAAAGUUCAAACCAAAUAGCACUUCUAUGACAAUAGAGAAACGAAGAUGGAAUAAAAAAUGCUCUUCGU
rnacentral:misc_RNA from 1 species